GGACGGAAGCAACGUCCCAGAGUUCUGGUAACAGUUCACUCAGUGAGCCAGAUUCUGGGGGAGAAGUGGUCCCUAACAAUGAAGGCAGCAAACCGCUUAGCAAAUCGGGAAAUGGGGACGAUGCAAUGCCCAAUCGCGAUGACAACACUAUACAAGAUGGGCAAACCUUUAUUCAGGCAAGAUGUUGGAACCUGAUUUUAAAUCCCUCAAUAUUAGUAUUUACAAACUUCCCAAAAUCAAAGGGCUUCCUUACAGGGAAAGAACGAAGAAUGAGCUCCUUGAACGUUCUGAAUGAUAUAUUGCCAGGAGCAGUAAAGCCAUAUGACAUUAUUUCUGUAGAUUAUUUGCAUCAUGAUGGUUGUUCAAUGAGAGCAAUGAUCACAUUUAGAGACCAGAACCUGGCCAAGUUUAUCUACAGAUCAAGAUAUAUAUUCUUAAAGGCCCAGAUAAAAAUUCUCAGAUUUUUUGAAAACAAGGCACCACCGAAUCCCCUUCUGGAAGCCAAGCACGCAAACCCUAGUAAGGAGAAACAACCUCCCAAAACCCGGCCUGGUCUCCAGAAACGAGAGCUUC